AACCGGCUGAUGACAUCAUGACAUCCAUCAGAAUAUGGCAGGCGCAGAACACAUGAUGCAUGUGCCAAUGAAAAACAAGCAUUAAGUUGAUGGGGAGGAAUAACCAUGAAGAGCCUGAGAAAAGGUUGUUCGAAUGGCAUUCACUAAGGACGCGAGACACCUUAUCGACCCUGGGGACAACCAUGGAGAGCCAGCGAUGGUGGACAUUACUUCUAUUGUUA